ACUGAAUAGAAAACAGCAGGUGCGUACCGCCCGCGGCUCUGACCGGGGGCAGGCACGUUAAAAGGGAAGCGGGUGCAAAUCCCGCACGAUCUCGUCACUGUGAUAAGGGAGUUUACCGCCAGGGUGCAGCUGCACCGGUCACUGGAACCCAUGUUCCGGGAAGGCGGCGGUGGAUGUUGAGCUUUCAGCCAGGAAACCUGCCCGCUGUUGGUACGGGGG
rnacentral:ncRNA from 2 species